rnacentral:rRNA from 1 species
GUUUGAUUCUGGCUCAGGAUGAACGCUAGCGGCAGGCUUAACACAUGCAAGUCGAGGGGCAACGCGAGUAGCAAUACUUGGCGGCGACCGGCGCAAGGGUGCGUAACGCGUGAGCAACAUGCCCGUAUCAGGGGGAUAAUCCAGGGAAACUUUGGUCUAAUACCCCAUAGUAAUUUUGUAAGGCAUCUUAUAAGAUUUAAAGCUUUGGUGGAUACGGAUUGGCUCGCGUGACAUUAGCUGGAUGGUAAGGUAACGGCUUACCAUGGCUAUGAUGUCUAGGGGUUCUGAGAGGAAGGUCCCCCACACUGGAACUGAGACACGGUCCAGACUCCUACGGGAGGCAGCAGUGAGGAAUAUUGGACAAUGGAUGGAAAUCUGAUCCAGCCAUGCCGCGUGAAAAGGAAGAAGGUCCUAUGGAUUGUAAACUUCUUUUGUAUGGGAGCAAUAAGGCCUACGAGUAGGUUGAUGAGAGUACCCAUACGAAUAAGCACCGGCUAACUCCGUGCCAGCAGCAGC